UAUCUCUGUAGAGUCUGCAUAUCAAUAAGCGGAGGAAAAGAAACUAACAAGGAUUCCCCUAGUAACGGCGAGUGAAGCGGGAAGAGCUCGAAUUUGAAAUCUUAAAGGGUUUCCCUUUACGAAUUGUAGUUUAAAGAAGUGUUUUCUGUUGAGGUUUUGGUAAAAGUUCUUUGGAAUAGGACAUCAUAGAGGGUGAGAAUCCCGUAUUUGACCUUUACUUUCAACUUUGUGAUACACUUUCAAAGAGUCGGAUUGUUUGGGAAUGCAGUCCAAAAUGGGUGGUAAAUUUCAUCUAAAGCUAAAUAUUGGCGAGAGACCGAUAGCGAACAAGUACCGUGAGGGAAAGAUGAAAAGAACUUUGAAAAGAGAGUUAAACAGUACGUGAAAUUGUCAAAAGGGAAGCGUUUGACACCAGUGUUGUUUUUCUGAAAAUCAAUUAAAGAACUGUUUAUGCUAAGCUGUUUAGACUUUAUCAGCUAUCUGUUUAGUUUUGAGCUUUUCUUUAAUGCACUUUUUAGUUAACAAGUCAACAUCAAUUUCUUUUGCUGUAAAAAAGCUUGAGGAAGGUGGCUUGAGAUUCGUCUUAAGUGUUUAUAGCCUCUUGCCUAUGCAGUCGGAGAGAUUGAGGUCUGCAGCGUAGAUCCUUCGGGGCUAGAUACAUUUGUGCUAAGUUAUAGCAUUUCAUAGACAACUUGUUGACUAUGAUUAGUCAUUGUAGCUUACUCGCUUAUGUUAUUUUACCUACGCUUAGGAUGUUGACGAUCAGCUGAGCGCG
rnacentral:rRNA from 1 species